rnacentral:tRNA from 1 species
GCGGGCAUAGCUCAAUGGUAGAGCUCCAGCCUUCCAAGCUGGCCAUACGGGUUCGAUUCCCGUUGCCCGCUCCA